GGCAGGGGCUGGCGACGGCGUUGUGGGCCAUGGGGCCGCGGCCGGGUUAGGGCGCGGCGAUGUCGGGCUACGCGCGGCGGCAGGGCGCGCCCCCACUAUCGCGGACGCGGAGCCUCGUAGUUCCCGACGGUGACAAACUUGAAGACCUUGAAGAAGCCAAUCCAUUCUCCUUCAAAGAGUUUUUGAAAACCAAGAACCUCAGCCUGUCAAAAGAAGACACAGCCACCAGUCGAAUUUACCCGAAGGUACAUCUGGGAAGCUGUCAGUGGUUGCCUUAAAGAAAGUCUCUUGUACCUUACAGCUUUGGAAACUGACUCGAGUGUGGGGAGCAAAGCAGGACAGACAUGGCUGCUGGUGGAGAGACUGUGGGUGGAGCGGCCG
rnacentral:lncRNA from 1 species